rnacentral:lncRNA from 1 species
CCAAUUUCUUGCUCUUUUUCCUUUUUCUUUUUUGUCUUCUUUCUUUCUCCCAUCCAUCCAUCCAUCCAUCCAUCCAUCCAUCCAUCCAUCCAUCCACCCAUCCAUCCACCCACCCACCCAUCCACUUUUUCUGCCUUAGCAUCUGUCCUGAGGUCUCUCCUGCGAGCCCAGGAUCCGGCCCGGUCCCCAGGACACGGCCACAAGGGGGAGCUGCUCUCCCGCGCUCGCUCUGAUCCACGCGGCUUUGGGGAGGGGGGCUCUGGCAGAGGGUGUGGAGGGCGGGGGUGCCCUGGGGGGGGGACGUUUCGGCAGAGACUCGGGCCGCCCGCCGGGCGCCGCGCGGUAGGGUCUGUCCCCCGGCUCCGGGGCGGGGCGCCCCUCGGCUGCGGCGCGGGCGGAGCUUUCCAGAGGGGGAGGGGGGCUUGGCCCUACCAGGCGUGGAACGGUCCCAAAGGGUCCUCACCGCCUCCCGGGUGCCUGGAGGGAAGGUGUCUCGAGGGGCGGAGCCCGGGGAGGAUCACACGUGGCCUGGCCCCCCAGGGGCGCGCGGCGGGGCCCCGCUGUGAGGGUGGGCAGGGCUUUCCCGGCAGACCUGGAGAGGAGGCGCCGACCCAGCGUGGGCCGGAGGAUCCCCGCAAAAUGACCUUGGUGACGGUGGGGAUGCAGCCCGCGGCGUCAGGUGGCAGGCGGCUCCCGGAGAGGGCGGGGGCGUUGCCCGGCGUCUCGGCAUCUCAAGGUCUAUUCCGAGAGCCCGAGCUCCGGGGGAGUGGGGAGUGGGAGGCGAACCCCACAUCUGUGGUCUCGUGGAGAGGGAAGCACCGGGAAGGGCCAGGCGCGUCGGCUGUGGGAGGCCGGGGAAACGGCCAAGAGGAGCCCGCGGGACGUGCCCGGAGAUCAUGGGCCUGCGGGGCCCUGGGGACCAGAACAUCCGAAUCUCUGGGGACCGCUGGGAGGGGGGGCAGUGGAGGAAGACUGCCCCGGCGCAGGAGCCUGCCACAGGGAAGAGGGUUUUUUGCCUCUGUCCCUGAUUUUCUGGGUGCUGCGCGGCCUGUUUCCCCAUCAGUCUGA